rnacentral:rRNA from 1 species
UAAAAUGUAUUCUGCCCAGUGAAAUUUUUUAACGGCCGCAGUACUUUGACUGUGCUAAGGUAGCAUAAUAAAUUGACUUUUAAUUGAGGUCUUGAAUCAAAGGAAUUAUGAAUAACCGCUGUCUUUUAAUAAUUUAAUAAAAUUUACUAAUAAGGUGAAAAUUCCUUAAUUUAUAAAAUAGACGAGAAGACCCUAGGAGUUUUAUAAUUUUGUUGGGGCGACAUAACAGCAUUUAACCUGUUAAUUAUUUAAAUUAUAACAAAUUUUAUUAAUUCAAAUUAAGCUACCCUAGGGAUAACAGCAUAAUUUAUUAAGUUUGUGACCUCGAUGUUGGACUAGGAAUAGUAAAUAUUAACGAUAUUUAUUCAUGUUCUGUUCGAA